AGGGUCAGAUUAAGAAAAAGGUGCAAGUUAUGGAGUCACCCUCAAGAACUGUUGGUUUGGACUUAAAAGCGCUCAAAGAAAUGAACUCAGUUUUCUGUCUUUGUGCAGCUGAUUCCAUGCAUAAGGUGCAUGGUAAACAAAAGCUAU